rnacentral:rRNA from 1 species
GUGGGGAAUAUUGGACAAUGGGCGAAAGCCUGAUCCAGCCAUGCCGCGUGUGUGAAGAAGGUCUUCGGAUUGUAAAGCACUAUAAGUUGGGAGGAAGGGCAGUAAGUUAAUACCUUGCUGUUUUGACGUUACCGACAGAAUAAGCACCGGCUAACUUCGUGCCAGCAGCCGCGGUAAUACGAAGGGUGCAAGCGUUAAUCGGAAUUACUGGGCGUAAAGCGCGCGGAGGUAGUUUUGUAAGUUGGAGGUGAAAGCCCCGGGCUCAACCUGGGAACUGCCUCCAAAACUGCAUGACUAGAGUACGGUAGAGGGUAGUGGAAUUUCCUGUGUAGCGGUGAAAUGCGUAGAUAUAGGAAGGAACACCAGUGGCGAAGGCGACUACCUGGACUGAUACUGACACUGAGGUGCGAAAGCGUGGGGAGCAAACAGGAUUAGAAACCCGGGUAGUCC